UGGCCCUUAUCUGAGUUCUUUCAGGCCUCCCAGAUAGUAUCAAGGAACUGAAACUUACCAAAUACACAUGGCUUCAGAACCCAACAGAACACUCAUCAAUUUGCGGCUCUACCACUUACUGUAUGUCACCUGGAGGAAAUGAUUUAAACUCUUCAAACUGCAACUUAUUUAUCCACAAAACAGGAAGCAAAGUGUAUCUGCUGGUGCUUUGCAAGGUCUCUAUGAGAUAAAUGUUUUCUUAGUUUGUUUGUUUUUUUUGUUGUUGUUG
rnacentral:lncRNA from 1 species